rnacentral:snRNA from 1 species
CGAAGAUUUAUAUCUUAAGAAA